AGGGAGCGCGGGCAGGGAGGAGGGGGCUCGGGCAGGGAGGAGGGGGCGCGGGCAGGGAGGAGGGAGCUCCGGCGGCCCGGCCGCAGCCUGCCGUGCACAGGGGUGGGCAGGCUGGAGAGGGUCCCACGUUUCCCCCUGACAAUGAAAGCUGACUUACGGAGAAUAGACACGGAAGGUCGGCCAGUUGCGGCUCAUGCAGCCAAAGCGCUCCGUUAGGGCAGGAGCUUUCUACCCGCGACAUUAGCCCGAAGUAUCAUCGGUAGUUUUGUUAACAAAGCUCUCUCAGUUCCACAAGCUCUGAGAACAGACGGCAGCGCUGAAGACGUGCAGCCACCUGUGCUGCCCGUACGUACUGUGAGCUACAGGGUACCCAAGAAAGGGAGUCACCGCAGCACUUCAGAGGAGUGGAGCUAUCUGCAGGGCCCACACACGGACGCAGCCAUGUUUUCUUUUUUGACAACAGUGGAGCAAUUUGAAUCCCUCCUAUCACCCCGCUCCCCCCCCCCCCCCAAAAAAAAGGGAAAAAAAGAAAAAGAAAAGUGGGAGGGAAAGGGGAAAAAGAGAAGGCGGCAGGCAAGGCUUCGAAGCAGCUGUAGCUAAAUAACCGCCUUGCCUGCCUUUUUUCUCUCUUUCAAUUUUUUCAAACAUAUCACAUGAGAAACUAUAGGAAGUGUAACAAGAUUUCUUUCCUCUGUAGAAAAGCUGAGCUACUUUGAGCUGAUCACCCCAUGAGCCAAAGAAAGGAGGGAUGGGUUCCUAUUAAACCAAACAUAGCUAGUGUGGUACCACCGUCUCCCUCUCCAAAGCAUACACAGGAUCAGCCCUGGUAUCUCAGGUUUUAUUAAUUUCUGAUGCUCGUCUUCACUGAGAAAUCAACACUCCACCUGUGCUGCUGGGAUCACUUCCUCACUAACAGAAGUGUUACUGGUUAUUCCUCAACAUUUGAUAUCCUUGGUGGCCAACUGAAGUCCUUCCAUGGUGGAAUCAACAUGAAAAGUUUCUGAAAUAAAAAACAAGAAGAAAUUCUGCUGAAAUAGAGCCACAGCACAGACCAUGGAAAGACUUUAAAAUUCAACCCUCAGACUGAGAAGAGUGCACCUGGUCUGACAUUUUUAAACAUCUCUUUUUCAUACUCAACUGUCACUUAUGGAGAACCAGCAGAUGAUGGAAGACAAAGUAAAAAUAAAUGCAAGGAGGAUGGAAAAGGAAGAGGAGAAAACUUGGAUGUCAAAACUAGAGACAGUAAGGACCUAACAAUCUCAAGGCUGAAAAAUAAUAAGAAGGGUAACACAGUGGGAAUUUUUUUCUCCACAUAUCACAAACACAAUAUAGCAAGCAGCCAUUCAGCCAAUACUACCAUAGUACAGCUACAUCUCACAACUCUUAUAGUACAUUGCAACAUUUUCCCAUGACAUUUACUCAGGAGCUGACAGGCCUCCAAGUUCUGGAACUCAUGUCAAGCACCAGCACAACCUGACAGUUACUUUUUUCCUGAGAGCUCCAGAAACACUGUUGUGGGUAGCUCUUAUUCUCCCUGGCAAUCAUACUCUCUGCUUACUUAAAUUUUGGGCCAGUUUUUCUGGGUAAGCACUGUAAAAAGGCAGGUGAAGUUUCCUGGUCCUAAUUCCAACAUUUCUUGUUUAAAAUGUGUUGUUAAAUGUCAAAGGAUAGAGAAUUUUUUAGAAUUAUUAUAAUUAUCAAAGUAGGAACUGGAAGAGGUUUGGCCAUAGGAUGGUAUUUUGUGUGGCAAUACUGGAAGCCUGCUUUAGUCUGCUUUGUGUCUUUUAGGUUACUUUUUUCAUGUCAGCCUAAAGAGUCCUGCUUGUCCCAGCUGUCUGUUCCUGCUCCUUUGCCCGUAUCUUGCUGGUAGUGUCGUUUUAGGACAUUUGUUUCAGCUCAGUGGUCCAGAUUGAAAACUCUUUGGAUGUUUCCAUGCAUUGCAUGAUAGAGCUGAACUGCCUCACUCUGGCUGCAGAAGCACUGUGUCCAGCAGAGGGAAGUGAUGGGAAUAGCAUGGCCAGGGAAAGGACGGGCAAUAACACACACCAUCAAGAGAUUUGUCUCAUUAAAACCACAGACCCUACCAGGCUGUCAUGGAGGAAGCCUUCCUGCAGGGAGUUUCUGACUGCCACGCUUCCAAAAGAAACAUGCCAGCUUUUAUGUCGCAGUAGUCCCACAGAUAAAUGCUUAAACUGAU